GAUCAUGGCUCAGGAUGAACGCUAGCUACAGGCUUAACACAUGCAAGUCGAGGGGCAGCAUGACGAUAGCUUGCUAUUGUUGAUGGCGACCGGCGCACGGGUGAGUAACGCGUAUCCAACCUUCCCAUAGCUAGGGAAUAACCUUGCGAAAGUAAGACUAAUACCCUAUGAAGUUCUUCGCAGGCAUCUAAAGAGAACGAAAGAUUUAUCGGCAACGGAUGGGGAUGCGU
rnacentral:rRNA from 1 species